rnacentral:rRNA from 1 species
AGAGUUUGAUCCUGGCUCAGGACGAACGCUGGCGGCGUGCUUAACACAUGCAAGUGGAGCGACGAACCAGGGCUUGCCCUGGGGCAGAGCCGCGAACGGGUGAGUAACACGUGGGUAACCCACCCCGAUGACCGGGACAACCCGAGGAAACUCGGGCUAAUACCGGAUGUGGUCGGUUUUCGUAAGGAAAUCGAGCAAAGAUAGCUUCGGCCUUCGCAUCGGGACGGGCCCGCGGCCCAUUAGCUUGUUGGUGGGGUAACGGCCUACCAAGGCGACGAUGGGUAGCUGGUCUGAGAGGACGAUCAGCCACACUGGGACUGAGACACGGCCCAGACUCCUACGGGAGGCAGCAGUGGGGAAUCUUGCGCAAUGCGCGAAAGCGUGACGCAGCAACGCCGCGUGGGGGAAGAAGGCCUUCGGGUUGUAAACCCCUUUCAGUUGGGACGAAGCUUCGUCGGUUAAUAGCCGGCUGGAGUGACGGUACCUUCAGAAGAAGCCCCGGCUAACUACGUGCCAGCAGCCGCGGUAAUACGUAGGGGGCUAGCGUUGUCCGGAAUCAUUGGGGCGUAAAGCGCGUGUAGGCGGUCCGGUAAGUCCGCUGUGAAAGUCGGGGGCUCAACCCUCGGAUGCCGGUGGAUACUGUCGGGCUUGAGUACGGAAGAGGCGAGUGGAAUUCCUGGUGUAGCGGUGAAAUGCGCAGAUAUCAGGAGGAACACCAAUUGCGAAGGCAGCUCGCUGGGACGUUACUGACGCUGAGACGCGAAAGCGUGGGGAGCAAACAGGAUUAGAUACCCUAGUAGUCC